rnacentral:rRNA from 1 species
GCUUGUCUCAAAGAUUAAGCCAUGCAUGUCUAAGUAUAAACAAAUCUAUACUGUGAAACUGCGAAUGGCUCAUUAUAUCAGUUAUAGUUUAUUUGAUGGUCCUUGCUACUUGGAUAACCGUAGUAAUUCUAGAGCUAAUACAUGCAUCAAACCCCGACUUCUGGAAGGGGUGUAUUUAUUAGAUGGAAACCAAUGCGGGUUCCCCGGUAUUUGGUGAUUCAUAAUAACUUUCGGAUCGACUUCGGUCGAUGCAUCAUUCAAGUUUCUGCCCUAUCAGCUUUGGAUGGUAGGGUAUUGGCCUACCAUGGCUUUAACGGGUAACGGAGAAUUAGGGUUCGAUUCCGGAGAGGGAGCCUGAGAAAUGGCUACCACAUCCAAGGAAGGCAGCAGG